ACGUAGGAGACGAGCGUUAUCCGGAUUUACUGGGCGUAAAGGGCGUGCAGGCGUUGUUCUCCUUUCUUUUUUCCCUCCCCCCUUCUUCCCCUGGACCUUCCAAUGAAGACUGGUCAGCUAGAGGACGGUAGAGGGGUGUGGAAUUCCGGGUGUAGUGGUGAAAUGCGUAGAGAUCCGGAGGAACACCAGAGGCGAAGGCGACACCCUGGGCCGUACCUGACGCUAAGGCGCGACAGCACGGGGAGCGAACGG
rnacentral:rRNA from 1 species